rnacentral:rRNA from 1 species
UACGUAGGUGGCAAUCGUUGUCCGGAAUUACUGGGUGUAAAGGGCGUGUAGGCGGGGAUGCAAGUCAGAUGUGAAAUCCUGGGGCUCAACCCCAGAGCUGCAUCUGAAACUGCAACUCUUGAGUGCUGGAGAGGAAAGCGGAAUUCCUAGUGUAGCGGUGAAAUGCGUAGAUAUUAGGAGGAACACCAGUGGCGAAGGCGGCUUUCUGGACAGUAACUGACGCUGAGGCGCGAAAGCGUGGGGAGCGAACAGG